rnacentral:rRNA from 1 species
UACGUAGGGGGCGAGCGUUGUCCGGAAUGACUGGGCGUAAAGGGUGCGUAGGCGGUACGGCAAGUUGAUAGUGAAAUCCCGGGGCUCAACUCCGGUGCUACUGUCAAGACUGUCGAACUUGAGUGCGAGAGAGGUAAGCGGAAUUCCUAGUGUAGCGGUGGAAUGCGUAGAUAUUAGGAAGAACACCGGAGGCGAAAGCGGCUUACUGGCUCGUAACUGACGCUGAGGCACGAAAGCGUGGGGAG